rnacentral:rRNA from 1 species
UACGGAGGGUGCAAGCGUUAAUCGGAAUUACUGGGCGUAAAGCGUGCGCAGGCGGUUUGUUAAGUCUGCUGUGAAAUCCCCGAGCUCAACUUGGGAAUUGCAGUGGAUACUGGCAAGCUAGAGUAUGGUAGAGGAAGGUGGAAUUCCCGGUGUAGCAGUGAAAUGCGUAGAGAUCGGGAGGAACACCAGUGGCGAAGGCGGUCUUCUGGACCAAUACUGACGCUCAUGCACGAAAGCGUGGGGAGCAAACAGG